AGAGUUUGAUCAUGGCUCAGAAUGAACGCUGGCGGCGUGCUUAACACAUGCAAGUCGUACGAGAACUCUUUAGCUUGCUAAAGAUAGUAAAGUGGCGCACGGGUGAGUAACGCGUGGGUAAUCUUCUUUCAAAUUUGGGAUAACUCGCCGAAAGGCGGGCUAAUACCUGAUAAUAUCUAUUUAAUCUUGGUUUGAUAGAUUAAAGGUGGCCUCUAUGUAUAAGCUACUGUUUGAAAAUGAGCCCGCGUACCAUUAGCUUGUUGGUAGGGUAAUGGCCUACCAAGGCUACGAUGGUUAGCUGGUCUGAGAGGAUGAUCAGCCACACUGGAACUGACACACGGUCCAGACUCCUACGGGAGGCAGCAGUGAGGAAUUUUGCGCAAUGGGGGAAACCCUGACGCAGCAACGCCGCGUGAGUGAUGAAGGCCUUCGGGUCGUAAAACUCUGUCAAGUGGGAAGAAUAUGAUCAAUGAUAAUACCAUUAAUUACUGACGGUACCACUGAAGGAAGCACCGGCUAACUCCGUGCCAGCAGCCGCGGUAAUACGGAGGGUGCAAGCGUUAUUCGGAAUUAUUGGGCGUAAAGGGCGCGUAGGCGGUUUUUUAAGUCAGAUGUGAAAGCCCGGGGCUUAACCUCGGAAGUGCAUUUGAAACUGAAAGACUUGAGUAUGGGAGAGGGAAGUGGAAUUCCUGGUGUAGAGGUGAAAUUCGUAGAUAUCAGGAGGAACACCGGUGGCGAAGGCGACUUCCUGGACCAAUACUGACGCUGAGGCGCGAAGGCGUGGGUAGCAAACAGGAUUAGAUACCCUGGUAGUCCACGCAGUAAACGGUGAACACUAGGUGUAGCGGGUAUUGACCCCUGCUGUGCCGCAGUUAACGCAUUAAGUGUUCCGCCUGGGAAGUACGAUCGCAAGAUUAAAACUCAAAGGAAUUGACGG
rnacentral:rRNA from 1 species